rnacentral:rRNA from 1 species
CAGCCGCCGCGGUAAUACAGAGGGUGCGAGCGUUAAUCGGAUUUACUGGGCGUAAAGCGUGCGCAGGCGGCCCGUUAAGGCAGGUGUGAAAUCCCUGGGCUCAACCUAGGAAUUGCGCUUGUGACUGGCGGGCUCGAGUACGGUAGAGGGGGGUGGAAUUCCUGGUGUAGCAGUGAAAUGCGUAGAGAUCAGGAGGAACACCGAUGGCGAAGGCAGCCCCCUGGGCCUGUACUGACGCUCAUGCACGAAAGCGUGGGGAGCAAACAGGAUUAGAUACCCCAGUAGUCCCUGUCUCUUAUAC